CCUGCCUGCCUGUGAUAUAUAUUUAACGGCCGCGGUAUUUUGACCGUGCAAAGGUAGCGCAAUCACUUGUCCUUUAAAUGAAGACCUGUAUGAAUGGCAUGACGAGGGCUUAACUGUCUCCUUUUUCCAAUCAAUGAAAUUGAUCUUCCCGUGCAGAAGCGGGAAUACAACCAUAAGACGAGAAGACCCUAUGGAGCUUUAAACAAAAAUAGAUCUUGUUAAACAUAUCUUAAUUAAAGAAGUGAACCGAAAGAAUCCUAUCAUUNAUGUUUUUGGUUGGGGCGACCGCGGGGAAACAAACAACCCCCAUGUGGACUAAGAAAACAUUUCUCACAAUAAAGAGCCACAGCUCUAAUUAACAGAAUUUCUGACCUANUAGAUCCGGCAAUGCCGAUCAACGGACCGAGUUACCCUAGGGAUAACAGCGCAAUCCUCUUUAAGAGUUCAUAUCGACAAGAGGGUUUACGACCUCGAUGUUGGAUCAGGACACCCUAAUGGUGCAGCAGCUAUUAAGGG
rnacentral:rRNA from 1 species